UUGCCUUAUUAAUUGUUUCUUCUUGUUACUUCUACAGGAAAAAAGUGGACAUGAUAGUUUUAAAAUUUCAGCAUUUUGCUGUUGGCUCCCAAUUUGCAUCUGUAUCAUUAUACCAUUAUAAGAUCAGCUAUUAUCUCAGUGAGAAGCCAGCAUGGACCACAGCAACAAGUGUGGGCAAGUGCCUGCUAGAGUCCUGGCCAGUCCCCAGCAGCUUGGGCCCACCUGGAAAAGAGCUAUAUGGCUCACGAGCAAUAGCCAGAUGCCAUUGCUGGGUUUGUGUCAAUCAUCUAUUGUCUAUUUGUAGAGAUUUGGAAGAUGGAUUAUGCUAAGAAAUAACAGGUAUGUUUUUGUCCUGAACAAUUCUAUGAAUGUAC
rnacentral:lncRNA from 1 species